rnacentral:rRNA from 1 species
AUUGAACGCUGGCGGCAGGCUUAACACAUGCAAGUCGAACGGUAGCAGGAGAAAGCUUGCUUUCUUGCUGACGAGUGGCGGACGGGUGAGUAAUGCUUUGGAAUCUUGCUUAUGGAGGGGGAUAACUACGGGAAACUGUAGCUAAUACCGCGUAAUAUCUUCGGAUUAAAGAAUGGGACUUUUAGCCAUUCGCCAUAAGAUGAGCCCAAGUGGGAUUAGGUAGUUGGUGGGGUAAAGGCCUACCAAGCCGACGAUCUCUAGCUGGUCUGAGAGGAUGACCAGCCACACUGGAACUGAGACACGGUCCAGACGCCUACGGGAGGCAGCAGUGGGGAAUAUUGCGCAAGAGGGGCAACCCUGACGCAGCCAUGCCGCGUGAAUGAAGAAGGCCUUCGGGUUGUAAAGUUCUUUCGGUGGUGAGGAAGGCUAAUAUGUUAAUAGCAUAUUAGAUUGACGUUAGCCACAGAAGAAGCACCGGCUAACUCCGUGC